CCUUUUACCUGCUGGGUAUAAUCAUGUCUCACUUACCUGCUUUCUUUGCUUCUAAAGAAGCUUUUUGAAGAUUAGAUAGGACUUUUGUAAGUACGACAAAGCUCCUUUCUUUAAAUGUUACCAUCUGCCUGCAGGAAAAUCACAGUUUUUUUCCUUGCAGAAUAUAUCUCAAAGUUAUAGGAGAAAGAAAAGGUGAUAAUGUGAAAUGGAAUUACUUGCAGUCCUUUACUACCCUUGCACAGUCAUUUUGUGCCUCUUCUUGCAGUUUGAGAGCACAGGAUUCUUAACAAACUAAUAGCUCUCAGUGCCAAUAAAGUUAGGAACGACUUGCUGUUUGAUGUUGCUUGAAACAUCAGUUAUUCCAAACAGGACGUGACUGAUCUCUCAGUGUCAGUUACAUGUGAGAGUCCCCUGACAUGCAUAGUUUGGAGACGGAGUGGGAUUCGGGAUUGGUUUUCCGGCCCCGUGUAGAGAACACUCUGAGUGAUGUACUCGCUGUACUCCCCGACCUACUCCUUCCACUCUUGCAUCACCUCUGUCCAGUCUGCUCCAGCUUCUGCCUAGUGCUAAAAAUGGGAAGGAAAAAAAAUCACCAUUAGGAAGAUGAACCAUGAACUUUUAAAAAGAAAGCAGAUUAUCUAAAAAUAGAGCAUCCCUCUGGGAGUGACUUUACGGGGUCUUCAUUCAGAAGCAUAUUAUUCACCUGCACUCUUUGCCCUGAUAGCUCUCCCUUGAAAUGUCACCCUUUCCUGGUCCCUAAGAGUCACUCUGCAUACUCCUUCCCUGCAGCCUCCCUCCCCUCCUUCCCUAACUCUGAACUAUUGUCCUUUGCCAUAGAUGCUUCUCCCCUACACUCUGACUAUAAAAAUACAGUGAGA
rnacentral:lncRNA from 1 species